GUGUGGUCGCCCUGUUUUCCUCUUGGCUCUGAAGGACAUAGGUGCUUGAAGAGUGCGCUGUGAUGUCAGAGAUAAAGUGAAUUGCGCGGCCAACACCACCAGGUAAAUGUCACCUUGUGCCUGGCAGACUGCUCCUACCUGCUUCUUGUGAAUUGGUCGGAUCAUCGGCCUCAAUGUAGAGCAGCUCGAAGCCUCCUAGUACCGGGUGAGGCAAAGUCCAUUCUCAAGCCCGAUCACCCAGAUGGAACAGAGAAAUCUGUUACCGGCCUCUGAACAUCAACAGCGCAUAAUUAGCAGCUGCUAAAAUAAUGGAAGUCAAUUGAACAAAAAUGUGGCGCGUUCUGCCUUCAUUUAUUAAAUACCUUAUGUUUCCAAACACUGUGCUCCACAGCGGCUGAAGAGCCUUGGAGGGGCAUCGCAGCAAGUAUCCCUCCCUGGGCACCAGACACAGAGAACCGACUGACUUUUGUGAUGAACUUUCCAAACGAGCUGUUGCUACAGCCGACCAACCGGCAAGCCGGCCGAGGGACCCGACUACUUCCCCUGGGCCCGACGACAGAAUAGAUUUGUCGCAAGCAAACUGUAAGUGGGCUGCCAUCAUCAAAGAAAUCAGCAGCCCGUCUCCCUGGGAGACUGCAACCCCCCACAUUUAUCUAAAUUAUCUCGGUAAUAUGACAGAGUGAUUGCUCACUAAUGGUCAAUAACAGUUUUCUUUGUCAUUUUCCUAGUCAUUACCUCCUGAGAAUGAACUCCCGAGUACACUGCUUGCAGCCCGUGACUGGAAUGUUAAUUUCGUCCUGCGUCCCCGGCUGGCUCCCUUCAACGGUACUGGGCUCUCGCAUUUCUGACAUUUUUCGUUUUGUAAAAAUGAAUACCUGCCUUAGAAAGCCUGAUGAACGCAGAGAUACUUUACAUGCAAACACACACACACACACACACACACACACACACACACACAAAUGCUGUUCCCAUUUCCCCCUGUCUUUCAUCUGACAAAGCGGGUAGUGACUGCGAGCUCAGAAUUGGCUGGCGGAGGUGUCUGCUGGUGUGUGGGCUCCAUUUCUGGGGCUUUAUCAAGCCCUGUCUCCGAUUUUCCCAUUUCAGACAAUCUUCCUUUGAAGACGUGGAUGACAUAGUAAAACCGAUUGCACUUGAGAGCCGAUUCCAUGACUAUUUUGCUGCAACAGCGCAUUCUGCAAAUUUCAGCUGCUUCACUAGCUUCUCCUGUUUGUUGCUGAACCGAUUAUCCUGUUCUGCACUUGUUCCGCGGAAGAAUCCCGAGUCCCAUCUUCUGCCUCGCUCGGACCUGAUAUUUGUUCUUUAUUCUCCUAAAGCGGUAAUUGAUUUUAUAUUAUUAUUAAUUUUUUGGGGGGGGAGGUAAUGGAUUUUUGAGUGAUAAAGCAACCUUGCAUUCCUAAAAUGAACUCAACUUUUUCUUUUUUCCUUUUCUAAAAAAAUAUUGCUAGGUUAGGUUUUCUAAUGCUUUCUUUAAAAAUUUUUGCCUCCAUGUCUAUGAAGCACAUUUAUGUUUGAUUUACCUUUAUUACAAUGUUCUUGUCAAGUUUUACUAUCAAAAUUAUGCAGGUCUCAUAAAAUUAACUGAGAAUUGUUCUCACUUAAAAAAAAAAAGAUUUUAUUCAUUUAUUUAGGAGAGAGAGAGCACAGGGGCAGAGGCAGAGGCAGAGGGAGAAUCAGAGGGAGCCGGAUGUGUGACUGAGUCCCAGGACCCUGAGAUCAUGCCCAGAACUGAAGGCAGACACUUAACUGACAGGCCACCCAAGCACCUCGUUGCUUUUUUUUUUUUUUUUAAGAUUUUAUGUAUUUACUUUAGAGAAAGAGAGAGAGAGUGAGCAUGAGCUGGGAGAGGGGCAGAGGGAGAAAGAGAGAGAGAAUCUCAAGCAGACUUAAUGCUGAGCACAGAGCCCAACACUGGACUCCGUCUCACAACCCUGAGAUCGUAACCUGAGCCAAAAUCAAGAGUUGGGUGCUUAACAGACUGAGCCACCCAAGCAACCCUGUUCUCACUUUCCCUUUAUAGGAGUAAUUUGUGUAAGAUUGGCUAAUUGUAGAUACUUAGAAGGAUUUGCAAUUAAAGCCAUCUGCAUAAAAAGUUUUGUGUUUGGGGGACAAAUGUUUUUCAUGGUUUUUUAUUUCUCUAAUAUGCAGAAGAAUAUAUUUUUUCUGUUUCUUGUGUCAGUUUGGUUCAUAGUAUUUUAAAAAAUAUUUUAUUUAUUCAUGAGAGACAGACAGAGAGAGAGAGAGAGAGAGAAGAGAGCAGAGAUAUAGGCAGAGGGAAAAGCAGGCUCCAUGCAUGGAGUCCAACGCGGGACUCGAUUUCCAGUCUCCAGGAUCACACCCUGGGCCGAAGGCAGCGCCAAACC
rnacentral:lncRNA from 12 species